UUUUUUUUUUUUUUUUUUUUUUGGUUUUUCGAGACAGGGUUUCUCUGUGUAGCCCUGGCUGUCCUGGAACUCACUUUGUAGACCAGGCUGGCCUUGAACUCAGAAAUCCGUCUGCCUCUGCCUCCCAAGUGCUGGGAUUAAAGGCGUGCGCCACCACUGCCCAGGUUUAUUAACCUUUAAACACACACACACACACACACACACACACACACACACACACACACAGAGUAUCCAGAUCAGGCUACUUUUGCACUCAGCCUGCCUCUGCGUCCUGAGUGUUGGGAUUAUAGGCAUAUGCCACCAUGCCUAGCUACUUGUAUCUUAAAAAGUUUACCUGCUGGAUGGAGUGUUUUGCUUCCUUUAAGAGCAUUCUUUGUCUGGACUAGUUUCUUCUUCAUGAUUAAAUGUUUUAUCUUUGGGGAAAUUCUUAAUUGCCAGUCACAUUUAUAAAAGAAAGGCCCACGUCUACUUUGUUGAGCCCUUUGCUCCAGAAGCCAUAAAUGCCUGUCUCUGCCUCCAGUUGGAACCAUGCUGGAUUAUAGUGACACCAUUCCUCAUCUUAGGCCAUCAGUUGCUUACGAGUCAUUCUGAGCUCUUCCCUCAGACUCAAUGCACACUUCUAGCACAAUAUAUAACUUAUCAAGUCCUAAUUUCCCUCCUAUAAUUUGUGUUGCUUUUGACAAUUUCACGUACCUCAAGAGUGAUUCUAAGUUCCUGAUUUCCUGCCUCUACUUCUCACGUGCUGGGAUUAUAGGUAUGUACUGGCCAUGUCUAGUUUCUGGGAUUCAGGGUACUAAACACAAGGCUUCACACAUACUACAGAAGCUUACAACUCCGUAAUGUUCCCAGUCCCUAAAGAUCUGUCCUCUCACCACUGCAGGCAAGCUUAAGUUUGGCUUCUCUUUCCUGAGGAUUCCUACAAGGCUUUUUUGACUUUUUCAUCAGCCUAAACGUCACUGUACUAGGUUGGUGUCUUGCAUACAAUAUGCUUAACACUUUGCCAGAAUGUUGCACAUAUAUUACUCAUUAGCCACUUGCUAUUGAUAUUGGAGAAGAUACACAUCCAUGUGGCCCCAUCACUGAGCUUUGUUUUCUACUUCACACAAAAAAGACAAGAUACUGCAAAUCACUGUUGAGUUGUAACCAAGCAUCCCUCUCCAAUAUAGGUUUCUCUUCCUGAUGGAUGUAAUAGUCAUCUCUAGAACCAGAGUCUGGGUUGAGUGACUAGAGCCAACAGUCUUUUCUAAUUCUUGGUUCAGUUUCAGCUUAGGGAAUGGGCAGACCAGGCAAUGACAAUUGUGCCUACUUUAGAGCUGCAGCCUAGGGGUGGGACAGACGGACAGACAGUAGCAGCGUGGCCAUUACAGUGAGAGGACUGAUGAGAUCUUUGUGGGGUCUGCUUAGGAGUGGAAUCCAAUCACCCCACUACAGCUGGACUAUGGAAUACUGACUUUUGGCAACCUUGUUGGCUGUUCACCAUACCUGAAUCAGAGUUAUACAGGGAUCUCCUUAAACUCCCAUGUCCUCCCAAUUUUCCGUUUCACCGAACCUGGCUGAAAUCUUAUCAAAAGCUUGAGAUAACUGAGCAGUGACAGGAAACAUCUAUUGUGUAGUGGCAGCAGCACUGUUUUGGGUGAAACUAAGCAGGCCAGGACUGGAGUCAGGAAUAUUAAUAUUGUCUGUAGGGUCUACUACAAGCCGUUUCACCUUGAUCUUCAAGGUCCCCAAGCCAUUUUUUUGGCCUGUAUUUGCUGCAGUAGAUUAUUGGGGGUCCCCUUUAAGAAAAGAUUGUGUAUAUGAGUGCUCUGUUUGCAUUUGUGCCUGAAUGAGAGAAGAGGAUAUCAGAUUCAAUCACAGAUAGAUGGCUGCAAGCCAUGAUGUCGUAGCUGGAACUCAGGACCUCUGCAAGAGCAGUCAGUUCUCUGAACUGCUGAGCCAUCUCUCCAGACCCUUCAUCUGCACUUUUUUGUUUAGUAUUUUAUUUAUUUUUGCGACAAAGUUUCUCAGCCAUGGCUGUCCUGGAACUCUAGCUGUAGAGAGAAGGCUGACCUUGAACCCACACAGAUCCGCCUGCCUAAGUGCUGGGAUUAAAGGCACAUCUGCCCUUUUAAUGCUGGCAGAUCCACCCCACAGCUGUUCCAGAGCCCGAGGACGGAAGGGAGGGCUGAGAACUAAAGACUCCGAACUAAGUCGCGGUGUAACGUCGUGCACGUGGGACUGUGGGAGAAAAGUUGUUCUGUCCCAACCCCCAAAGAAAGGCGCCCUUCUAGAACCCCUUUUGCCAGGCAGGAGUUCCGGUUCGGGCCAGGCCGCGGAGCCAAGUGGGUAACGAGCAGCCCCACCCGUGGGUGCUUCCGGCGUCGGUGCCUGACGCGACACUGACGGACUGGUCGUACGGCCAACGGCGUCGAGACAGCGGUGACGUUCAGCCAAUGGGAGGGGGCGGGGCGGGGCGGCCACGAUCGUCUCGAGCAGCCGCCCUGACGGGAAGGGCCCGAGAAGAGUCGGCGGCACAAAAUGGCGGCGGCGGCGGCCGGGGCUGCGGGGUUGAUGGCUCCGGCGUCGGCGGCCUGCUCUUCCGGCUCGGCGGGAGCGGCCCCGGGGUCUCAGGGGGUGCUGAUCGGCGACAGGCUCUACUCGGGCGUGCUCAUCACCUUGGAAAACUGCCUGCUGCCCGACGACAAGCUCCGCUUCACGCCGUCCAUGUCGAGCGGCCUCGACGUCGAUACGGAGACGGGACUCCGCGUCGUGGGCUGCGAGCUCAUCCAGGCAGCCGGCAUCCUGCUCCGCCUGCCGCAGGUGGCCAUGGCUACAGGGCAGGUGCUGUUCCAGCGGUUCUUUUACACUAAGUCCUUCGUGAAACAUUCCAUGGAGCAUGUGUCCAUGGCUUGUGUUCACCUGGCUUCCAAAAUAGAAGAGGCUCCGAGACGAAUCAGGGAUGUCAUCAAUGUAUUCCAUCGCCUUCGGCAUCUGAGAGAGAAAAAGAAGCCCGUGCCUCUGGUGCUUGAUCAAGAGUAUGUUAACCUAAAGAACCAGAUUAUAAAGGCAGAGAGACGGGUUCUCAAGGAGUUGGGCUUUUGUGUCCAUGUGAAGCACCCUCACAAGAUAAUCGUUAUGUACCUUCAGGUGUUAGAAUGUGAGCGUAAUCAACACCUGGUCCAGACUGCAUGGGUAGCCUCUGAGGGUAAGUGACUAAGACUUCUCCUCUGCUGUCCAAGUGCUUUGGUGCAGGGACAGCGGCCGUCUUCAGCCAAUCCAGUGCAGGCUCUCCACCGAAGGCUGGCUCUAGACUGGUGGUAUGCGCACCCGAUAGUAUAGUCAUGGCCGACUGCUGCUGUGGUUCUCUGACGAUUGUGCUUCUUGUUAAUCGUGUCAUGCUUGGUAAUUGUAUCGAUUAGAAUUGAUAACUGUCUUGACUUGAAUUUUGUUCUUUUAAAACUGCUGUACCUGUGCAAUAAAGAUGCAAUACCUUUCUUUUUUGUUUUAAAAAAAAUUGUAUAGAAAGAUAUAAAAACUGAAGUGACAAAAUUGGCAUGGUGGAAAUUCAGGCUGGUACUGGAUCCUAUCAUCAUUUCUUCCAAGCCCUAAGGUUGCUCUUUUCAGCAGCUUAAGUGGGACUCACUCCAGUAAAGGUGUGCAUCUUUAAGUUAAAAUACUGUAAUUUAUAUCAAAUGUAGCAUUAAGUUUAACUAUACCUUUGAAGGAUUCCACUUUUUUAAGAACAAAGUUAAUGAAUUAAUAUAUUUGAAUACUAAAAUUUCCUUACUAGUCGUAAAGUUAUUGAUGGUUGUGUUUCUAUUGUUUAAGCUGUUCAGCUACAGAAUGGCUUCUGGGAGAUGGGUAGAUGCCCCUACUAUUCUUGGCUUCCCUUCUAAGUGUUGCUUCCCAGGCCAGCUGCCUCUUACAGGCAUCUGUAGAAUGUAUUAUUUAGAAUGUCAGAGUGGGUUUGAAUGUUACCUUCUCUAAGGUUUUCGGGCAGAGAUGCUGGGUGGGAGCAGUUACAUCUCUCGUAUGUGGUACAGCCUGACAUUAGGGUAUGCACAGUACCAUUGGAUAUGUUGGGCAGUGUAUAACCUCAUGACGUGUUUUCUCAUGAAUUGUUUUUGCAUUGUUGAUAAAGCUAGUAUACCCUUUGGCCUUAGCCUAUAAACUUUAAAUAUAUAAAGAAAAUAUUAAAGAUGUAGUCAAUUUUAAAUGACCUUUAACUUUUCUAAAAAUGUGAAGUUUUGUACUUACAUAUCAUCUAAAGUAUUAUAGCAUUUUUAAGUGUACUUAGUUUGAUGCCACUUUUAGUGUUUUGUUGCUUUUGUCUGAUUUUUGUGAAUGUUCAUUUUAAGACUCCUUGUUGCAAUGGGACAGUUUCGUUCUUUGAUAAGCCUGAGAAGAGGAUCCCCUUGGGUGUUGGCCUCCUCUGCAUGAUGUGCCCAUGCAUCUGAACUGCACCCAAGGGCCUUUCCUUUCCCAAUGGACUCCCUCCCUGGAGCUGUGGCUCAGCCGUCUGGAGAAGGACCGGGCGACAAAUGCUGCCUGAAGAAAAGGGACACAGAGGACAGCUUGUCUGACAGUUGGGAGGCUUCGUGCUCGGCCUUCUCAUUUGAGUUUGCAUGUUUCUCUGCACUAUGGAUUUUGAACAUUUAGAUUUCUUUAAUCAACUACAUUUAACUACUAAGUAGCAUUUUCUUUCUAAGCAUUGUGCUUUGCAUGAUAGCAGGUCAUAGAGAAGGAAAAGUAAAGUUAAAGUCGGUUCUCGUUCAUAGCAACAUUGUCUGACAUUCAGCCAGCUUUUCCCCCAGUGAUUUAUUUCUUUCCUGUAUUCAGAAUGUCCCCUGUCACCUAUGGGGACUCCCAGAGUACCCAGCACAGUCCUAGUGCAGAACCCUUAGGAACAACCAACCACCUUUGAUGACACAUGGUGGCACAAUUGCCCAUGGCAUUACAGUCUUCCUGGUUUUGGUUUCAGGAACUACAUGAAUGACAGCCUUCGCACAGAUGUCUUUGUCCGGUUCCAGCCUGAAAGCAUUGCUUGUGCCUGUAUCUACCUUGCUGCCCGGACACUGGAGAUCCCUUUACCCAAUCGUCCACAUUGGUUUCUUUUGUUUGGAGCAACUGAAGAAGAAAUUCAAGAAAUUUGCUUUAAAAUCUUGCAGCUUUAUACACGGAAAAAGGUUGAUUUGACGCAUCUGGAGAGUGAAGUGGAGAAGAGAAAGCACGCCAUUGAAGAAGCAAAGGCCCGAGCAAAGGGCCUGCUCCCAGGGACUGCGCCAGGCCUGGACAGUGCUGCGGGGUUCUCGCCUGCUCCCAAGCUGGAAUCCCCAAAAGAAGGUAAAGGAGGCAAGCCUUCCCCGCCCUCUGGAAAGAGCGCCAAACGGAAAAUGGAAGGCCCAAAGAAAGCCCAGGGCCACAGCCCUGUAAAUGGCUUGCUGAAAGGGCAGGAGAGUCGAAGUCAAAGCAGGAGUCGUGAGCAGAGCUACUCAAGGUCCCCAUCACGGUCCGCUUCUCCAAAGAGAAGGAAAAGUGAUAGUGGCUCUACCUCAGGUGGGUCCAAGUCACAGAGUCGUUCUCGGAGCCGAAGUGACUCUCCUCCAAGGCAGGUACACCGAGGUGCUCCCUACAAAGGCUCAGAAGUGAGGGGCUCCCGGAAAUCAAAGGACUGCAAGUACCUCACCCAGAAGCCACACAAGUCUCGUAGCCGGAGCUCCUCUCGUUCCCGAAGCCGGUCACGAGAGCGGACGGACAAUUCUGGAAAAUACAAGAAGAAAAGUCAUUACUAUAGAGAUCAAAGACGUGAGCGCUCAAGGUCAUAUGAGCGCACAGGCCAUCGCUAUGAGAGGGACCACCCUGGACACAGCAGGCAUCGGAGGUGAGAUAGGAUCCCUGGUGGCUGCCCUUGGUCCCUCCCUGUUGGGCACACCUUGGCGUCAGUGGCCUUGUAGCAUGAUGUUUUUCGAAAGUGUUUUUAAUUGGACCUUGAGGUGAAUUUGAUUGAUGAGACAGUGGGCAAGGUGCCCUUCAGGCUGGCCUGGGGAGUGCUGUGCAUCUGUCCCGGUUAAUGGUCCACCUCAACUGCAGACCUUCAGGUAGCUGGAUGGAACAGCAAAGGCACACGUCCCCAUUGGCGUGGCUUGGUGCUAUUGACAAGCUGUCUCUUCACUCCUAAACUGAUACUCAAUUACGUUAAGCCAAGAAAGAUGAUUUUUGAAAUCUUUGCCUAUAUUAGGUUGUACUUGUGUACAUAUUUUGCAGUGGUUCACAAUGAGAAAAUGGCCUUAAUAGCCCCCUUGUUCUCUAUUCACGUUGUAAAUAAACAUGUUUAAUACAAGUAAAAGCUAUAUACGAGAACUCAGAAUUUUGAUUCUGUUAGCUUAACACUUGUAUAGAAAAUUGAGAUUUUUAAAAUGUGAAGGUAUUUAGGUCUGUGUUCAAAGUCCGUAUAUUUUUAUCUGUGCAAUGCUGAGUGCAGGCCACCAGCUGGAGAGAAAUUUUACGUGGUUGAAUAAACAAUUCUCAGGACACUUGUUAUGUAA